AGGAGCCGUGUGAGGUGAAAGUCUCACGCACGGUUCUGAAGGAGAGGUAGGAGUGGUAACGCUCCUAUCGACUCUAAC
rfam:Lyngbya sp. PCC 8106 1099428180513, whole genome shotgun sequence.